rnacentral:sRNA from 1 species
GCCAAGUGUGGUGGUUCACACCUGUAAUUCCAGGUACUUGAGAGCUGAGGCAGGAGGAUCAAAAGUUCUAAGCUAGCCUAAGCAAUAUAGUGAGACCCUACCUUAA